GCGUAUGCAACUUGCCUUACAGAGGGGGAUAACCCGUUGAAAGACGGACUAACACCGCAUAUGCUCAGGGGUCUGCAUGGGCCUUUGAGGAAAUAUUUAUAGCUGUAAGAUAGGCAUGCGUCCCAUUAGCUUGUUGGUGAGGUAACGGCUCACCAAGGCAACGAUGGGUAGGGGAACUGAGAGGUUUAUCCCCCACACUGGUACUGAGACACGGACCAGACUCCUACGGGAGGCAGCAGUGAGGAAUAUUGGUCAAUGGGCGAGAGCCUGAACCAGCCAAGUCGCGUGAAGGAUGAAGGCCCUAUGGGUCGUAAACUUCUUUUAUACGGGAAUAACGAGCCUUACGGGUAGGGCGCUGAAUGUACCGUAGGAAUAAGCAUCGGCUAACUCCGUGCCAGCAGCCGCGGUAAUACGGAGGAUGCGAGCGUUAUCCGGAUUUAUUGGGUUUAAAGGGUGCGUAGGUUGCUUGGUAAGUCAGCGGUGAAAACUGAACGCUCAACGUUCAGCGUGCCGUUGAAACUGUCAGGCUUGAGUGCAGUGGCGGCAGGCGGAAUUCGUGGUGUAGCGGUGAAAUGCAUAGAUAUCACGAGGAACUCCGAUUGCGAAGGCAGCUUGCCAUACUGUAACUGACACUGAAGCACGAAGGCGUGGGUAUCAAACAGGAUUAGAUACCCUGGUAGUCCACGCAGUAAACGAUGAUUACUAGGAGUUUGCGAUAU
rnacentral:rRNA from 1 species